AACGAACGCUGGCGGCAUUCCUAACACAUGCAAGUCGAACGAGACCUUCGGGUCUAGUGGCGCACGGGUGCGUAACGCGUGGGAACCUGCCCUUAGGUUCGGAAUAACUCCCCGAAAGGGGUGCUAAUACCGGAUAAUGUCUUCGGACCAAAGAUUUAUCGCCUUUGGAUGGGCCCGCGUUGGAUUAGCUAGUUGGUAGGGUAAAAGCCUACCAAGGCGACGAUCCAUAGCUGGUCUGAGAGGAUGAUCAGCCACACUGGGACUGAGACACGGCCCAGAAUCCUACGGGAGGCAGCAGUGGGGAAUAUUGGACAAUGGGCGAAAGCCUGAGCCAGCAAGGCCGCGUGAGUGAUGAAGGCCUUAGGGUUGUAAAGCUCUUUUACCCGGGAUGAUAAUGACAGUACCGGGAGAAUAAGCUCCGGCUAACUCCGUG
rnacentral:rRNA from 1 species